GAACGCGAUAGCCUGCUUGGUGGAGACCCGGUGCGCCUGCGUACUUCAUAGUUCGCGUUAGCGGCUCGAGCCUGGAGAUGAAGCGUAUUUUCUCACUGCUAGAAAAGACUUGGCUUGGCGCACCAAUACAGUUUGCCUGGCAAAAAACAUCAGGAAACUACCUUGCAGUAACAGGAGCUGAUUAUAUUGUGAAAAUCUUUGAUCGCCAUGGUCAAAAAAGAAGUGAAAUUAACUUACCUGGUAACUGUGUUGCCAUGGAUUGGGAUAAAGAUGGAGAUGUCCUAGCAGUGAUUGCUGAGAAAUCUAGCUGCAUUUAUCUUUGGGAUGCCAACACAAAUAAGACCAGCCAGUUAGACAAUGGCAUGAGGGAUCAAAUGUCUUUCCUUCUUUGGUCAAAAGUUGGAAGUUUCCUGGCUGUUGGAACUGUUAAAGGAAAUUUGCUUAUUUAUAAUCGUCAGACAUCUCGAAAGAUUCCUGUCCUUGGAAAACAUACUAAGAGAAUCACUUGUGGAUGUUGGAAUGCAGAAAAUCUGCUUGCUUUAGGUGGUGAAGAUAAAAUGAUUACAGUUAGUAAUCAGGAAGGUGACACAAUAAGACAGACACAAGUGAGAUCAGAGCCUAGCAACAUGCAGUUUUCCUUGAUGAAGAUGGAUGACCGAACCUCUGCUGCUGAAAGCAUGAUAAGUGUGGUGCUUGGCAAGAAAACUUUGUUUCUUUUUAAUCUGAAUGAACCAGAUAACCCAGCUGAUCUUGAAUUUCAGCAGGACUUUGGCAACAUUGUCUGCUAUAACUGGUAUGGUGAUGGCCGCAUCAUGAUUGGUUUUUCAUGUGGACAUUUUGUGGUCAUUUCUACUCAUACUGGAGAGCUUGGUCAAGAGAUAUUUCAGGCUCGUAACCAUAAAGAUAAUCUAACCAGCAUUGCAGUAUCACAGACUCUUAACAAAGUUGCUACAUGUGGAGAUAACUGCAUUAAAAUCCAAGACUUGGUUGACUUAAAAGACAUGUAUGCUAUACUCAACCUGGAUGAGGAAAAUAAAGGAUUGGGUACCUUGUCCUGGACUGAUGAUGGCCAGUUGCUAGCACUCUCUACCCAAAGGGGCUCACUUCAUGUUUUCCUGACCAAGCUUCCCAUACUUGGGGAUGCCUGCAGCACAAGGAUUGCCUAUCUCACCUCCCUCCUUGAAGUCACCGUAGCCAACCCUGUUGAAGGAGAGCUACCAAUCACAGUUUCUGUUGAUGUGGAACCCAGCUUUGUGGCAGUAGGUCUUUAUCAUCUGGCCGUCGGAAUGAAUAAUCGAGCUUGGUUUUAUGUCCUUGGAGAGAAUGCUGUGAAAAAAUUGAAAGAUAUGGAGUAUCUGGGAACAGUAGCCAGUAUUUGCCUUCAUUCUGACUAUGCUGCUGCACUUUUUGAAGGCAAAGUCCAGUUACAUUUGAUAGAAAGCGAAAUCUUGGAUGCUCAAGAAGAACGUGAGACUCGGCUUUUCCCAGCAGUGGAUGAUAAGUGCCGUAUCUUAUGCCACGCCUUAACUAGUGAUUUCCUCAUCUAUGGUACAGAUACUGGUGUCAUUCAGUAUUUCUACAUUGAAGACUGGCAAUUCGUUAAUGAUUAUCGACAUCCUGUCAGUGUGAAAAAGAUUUUUCCCGACCCAAAUGGGACCAGAUUAGUUUUCAUUGAUGAAAAAAGUGAUGGAUUUGUCUACUGUCCAGUUAAUGACGCUACCUAUGAGAUCCCAGAUUUUUCACCAACCAUUAAAGGUGUUCUUUGGGAAAACUGGCCAAUGGAUAAAGGUGUAUUUAUUGCUUAUGAUGAUGAUAAGGUGUACACUUACGUCUUUCACAAGGACACUAUACAAGGAGCCAAGGUUAUUUUGGCUGGUAGCACCAAAGUUCCUUUUGCUCAUAAACCUUUGCUGCUAUAUAACGGAGAGCUGACCUGCCAAACACAGAGUGGAAAAGUAAACAACAUCUACCUUAGCACCCAUGGCUUUCUCAGCAACUUAAAAGAUACGGGGCCUGAAGAACUGAGACCAAUGCUGACACAGAAUUUAAUGCUAAAAAGGUUUUCUGAUGCUUGGGAAAUAUGCAGGAUUCUGAAUGAUGAGGCUGCCUGGAAUGAGUUGGCCAGAGCUUGUCUACAUCACAUGGAAGUGGAGUUUGCAAUCCUUGUUUAUCGGAGAAUUGGAAAUGUUGGCAUAGUGAUGUCCUUGGAACAAAUAAAGGGAAUAGAGGACUACAAUCUUUUGGCAGGACACCUUGCCAUGUUUACCAACAAUUAUAUCCUGGCUCAGGACCUGUACCUUGCAUCCAGCUGUCCUAUUGCUGCCCUGGAGAUGAGAAGGGAUUUACAGCAUUGGGACAGUGCUCUACAACUGGCAAAGCGUUUGGCCCCAGACCAGAUACCUUUUAUAUCAAAAGAAUAUGCUAUUCAGCUUGAAUUCGCGGGUGAUUAUGUAAAUGCUUUGGCUCAUUAUGAGAAAGGAAUAACAGGUGAUAAUAAGGAGCAUGAUGAAGCUUGUCUGGCUGGAGUGGCCCAGAUGUCCAUAAGAAUGGGAGACAUACGUCGAGGGGUUAACCAAGCCCUCAAGCAUCCCAGCAGGGUCCUUAAAAGAGACUGUGGAGCCAUAUUGGAGAAUAUGAAGCAAUUUUCAGAAGCGGGUCAACUGUAUGAAAAAGGUCUCUACUAUGACAAAGCAGCAUCUGUUUACAUCCGCUCUAAGAAUUGGGCAAAAGUUGGUGAUCUUCUGCCCCACGUUUCUUCUCCUAAGAUCCACUUGCAGUAUGCCAAAGCCAAGGAAGCAGAUGGAAGAUACAAAGAAGCUGUUGUGGCUUAUGAGAAUGCAAAACAAUGGCAAAGCGUAAUCCGCAUCUAUCUGGAUCACCUCAAUAAUCCUGAAAAAGCUGUCAAUAUUGUUAGAGAGACCCAGUCUCCGGAUGGAGCCAAAAUGGUAGCCAGGUUUUUUCUACAGCUUGGUGACUAUGGGUCUGCCAUCCAGUUUCUUGUCAUGUCCAAAUGUAACAAUGAAGCUUUCACACUGGCACAGCAACACAACAAAAUGGAAAUCUAUGCAGAUAUUAUUGGUUCUGAAGACACUACUAAUGAAGAUUAUCAAAGCAUUGCCUUAUACUUUGAAGGAGAAAAGAGAUAUCUUCAGGCUGGAAAAUUCUUCUUGCUGUGUGGCCAAUAUUCACGAGCACUUAAACACUUCCUGAAAUGCCCAAGCUCGGAAGAUAAUGUGGCAAUAGAAAUGGCGAUUGAAACUGUUGGUCAGGCCAAAGAUAAACUGCUGACCAAUCAGCUGAUAGACCACCUCCUGGGGGAGAACGAUGGCGUGCCUAAGGAUGCCAAGUACCUGUUCCGCUUGUACAUGGCUCUGAAGCAAUACCGAGAAGCUGCCCAGACUGCCAUCAUCAUUGCCAGAGAAGAGCAGUCUGCAGGCAACUACCGGAAUGCACACGAUGUUCUCUUCAGUAUGUAUGCAGAACUAAAAUCCCAGAAGAUCAAAAUUCCCUCUGAGAUGGCCACCAACCUCAUGAUUCUGCACAGCUAUAUACUAGUGAAGAUUCAUGUUAAAAAUGGAAAUCACAUGAAAGGGGCUCGCAUGCUUAUUCGGGUGGCCAACAACAUCAGCAAAUUUCCAUCACACAUUGUACCCAUCCUGACGUCCACUGUGAUUGAGUGUCACAGGGCAGGCCUGAGGAACUCUGCUUUCAGCUUCGCAGCUAUGUUGAUGAGGCCUGAAUACCGCAGCAAAAUAGAUGCCAAAUACAGAAAGAAGAUCGAGGGAAUGGUCAGGAGUGAUGACAUUUGGGGUUCCUGUUCAUUACAUUAUGACAAGACCCAGGUACCUGAAUCUUGGACCCAGACCUUAGCCCAGGGAGAUACUGGAUUGGUAAUGACAAAUGGAAGCAAAUGACACUUCACUGGUAGCUGGGUUUGGGAACCACCCUCACGGCAGAGAGCUUUAAGCUGGAUAGAAGUACAUGGAAUACUCCUUUUUUUAAGCCUAAGUAGCUUCAGACCAAAUCAGUCUGACCCAGAAUACCUGCUAGCAUGGAGAGUGGGAUGGGGAGAAGCUAACCACAAAAUGCAAGAUCAUAUUUACCCCAACAGCAGAGAACCACGCUAGCUGGGGCUCUGGUGGGAGGAGAUGCUAGGCAUUCUCUCCCCAUGCACAAAUCGUUUAUAGCUAUGUGGUCCAAUAUGGUACCUGCUAGCCACAUGUGGCUAUUUAAAUUUAGUUAAAAUGGAAUAAAAGUUAAACUUAGUUCUUCGCACUACCCGUAUUUCAAGUGUUCAAAUGUGGCUCAUGGCUACCAUAUUGGAUAGCACAGAAUCCAAACAUUUCCAUUGUCACAGACAGUUCUAUUGGACAGUGCUGGUAUAACUUUUACCACUUCUGUUACACAAAAGGGAGACACAGAGGGAAAAUACCAAGCUCACCACUCCAGUAGCACAGGAAGAGAGAAGACCGCAAGACCUACCCAUGCUUUCUGCCGUUGAAUGUGCUAUGAACUCCAGUUCCCAAACGUGGCCCAUGUCACACCCUAGAACCUAACCAAUCCUAGGUACUCUUCCUCCUCCCUGGAGUGGAUCAAGGGCUGGUGUGAGCUUGUAUCUCUCUAAGCCCAGAGUCUGACUAUGAAGUAGGUGUGUCAUAUGUCCCUGGUUUUCCAAAUAUGCUUUCUGUUUGCCAUCCCCGGUACGUGAAUAAAACGGUAUUUUUAAAUGACAUGAUUCUUCCUCACAGGAGACCCAAUACAUCCGAGAUAGAAGAGGCCACGACUCCAUGUCCAUUCUGCAAAUUUCUUCUCCCAGAGUUUGAACUCCUCUGUCCUGGAUGUAAAAACAGUAUCCCAUAUUGCAUUGCAACAGGUCAACACAUGUUGAAAGAUGACUGGACGGUGUGUCCACAUUGUGACUUCCCUGCUUUAUACUCAGAAUUGAAGAUCAUGCUAAACACUGAAAGCACAUGUCCUAUGUGUUCAGAAAGAUUAAACGCUGCUCAGCUGAAAAAGAUUUCAGACUGUACCCAGUACCUGCGAACGGAGGAGGAACUGUGAGUGACAUGUGCAGAUACAAUGCUCCUGAGAAGACAGCAUUUUCCACAGGAGGCUGUUUCCUCCCCCAAUGGAUUUAAGAGACGGUCCUUACUGGAUACAGAGAAAUGAAACGGUGACCUCUCCAGGUCGGCACUUUCCGCUUCUGUACAGUGGCAAAACGAUGACAUGUAACCUUGCUGUUUAUUGUACUUUGCAUAUUUCCUCUUCAAAGUCUUACACACUCUAUCCUCUGCACUGUUAAUAGUAACCUACGACAUAAUUGUAAAUAUUCAGCUUUUUGAUAACUUUUGUAUUUUGAAAUACUUUAAAAUAAAAUUGUUGACUAGA